rnacentral:rRNA from 1 species
AGAGUGAACGCUGGCGGCAGGCCUAAUACAUGCAAGUCGAACGGCAGCACGGCAGAGCUUGCUCUGUGGGUGGCGAGUGGCGGACGGGUGAGGAAUACAUGGGAAUCUGCCCAGUCGUGGGGGAUAACGUAUGGAAACGUACGCUAAUACCGCAUGCGCCCUUCGGGGGAAAGCCGGGGACCUUCGGGCCUGGCGCGAUUGGAUGAGCCCAUGUCGGAUUAGCUAGUUGGCGGGGUAACGCCCACCAAGGCGACGAUCCGUAGCUGGUCUGAGAGGAUGAUCAGCCACACUGGAACUGAGACACGGUCCAGACUCCACGGGAGCAGCAGUAGGAAUAUUGGACAAUGGGACGCAAGCCUGAUCCAGCCAUGCCGCGUGUGUGAAGAAGGCCGUACGGUUGUAAGUACGACUUUAGUUACCGGAAAGAAAACGACGACGUAGGUUAACACCC